CUUGGUGCCUAUAGCCUUGGGGCCACACCCGUUCCCAUUCCGAACACGGCAGUUAAGCUCAAGCGCGCCAAUGGUAGUACGGUUACGCCGUGCGAGAGUAGGUCGGUGCCAAGA
rnacentral:rRNA from 1 species